GACAGAGGGUGCAAACGUUGUUCGGAAUUACUGGGCGUAAAGCGCACGUAGGCGGCUUUUUAAGUCAGGGGUGAAAUCCCGGGGCUCAACCCCGGAACUGCCUUUGAAACUGGAGAGCUAGAAUCUUGGAGAGGCGAGUGGAAUUCCGAGUGUAGAGGUGAAAUUCGUAGAUAUUCGGAAGAACACCAGUGGCGAAGGCGACUCGCUGGACAAGUAUUGACGCUGAGGUGCGAAAGCGUGGGGAGCAAACAGG
rnacentral:rRNA from 1 species